UAAGGGGAAGCCGAAAACCUUUACCAAGAGUAGGCA
rfam:Chryseobacterium arachidis strain DSM 27619 genome assembly, contig: Ga0131169_104